UUCAAUAGAACUGGACUACCCACUCAUUGCAUUGUAGUUUAAGCACAAAUGUAUAGGAAGAAGUCCCAAACACAUUAGUUGUCAGAGCAUUACUACUCACCAUGUUUGCAUCUGCACUUUGACUGCGUUCUCUCUCUAAUCGAAUCUCAGCUUCAAUU